GGCUGAGGCGGCGGGGGGUGGCCCGUUCUCCUCAGCAGUGAGGGAGCGCUUCGGCGGUGCGGCCCCGCCGCCCCUCCGCCGGCUGCCGUCCCGCUGCGAGGCCCAGCGGAGGGCGGGGAGGUGCGGGAUAACGGCUUCCCCGAGGAGCCUCGCCGCGGCCGUCUGGCGGUGAGGGCGGAGGUGUGCCGCCCGCCCGCCCCGCCGCCCGGCGGAGCCGAGGGGAAGGCGCGGGGCCGGCGGCAGCACGGCGGCGGCACACGGAGUCACCGAGGAAACCGGGACGCGCCGCGUUCUGUUUCCUUCAGCCCUCCGAACUGGCAGCAUUUAAAGCGAUUUUAACCCUCGUGGCUGAGGGUAUUAAAGCGCAUUUGGCAGGCCCGGCGCAGCGCGUCAUGUUUCAGGGAAGACACUUAAGAUGGCCUUGUGCCAGCUCAAACAUCGUCUUGGCUCAGGCGCUGGACCACCGAAAAACAGACUGACUUCACCCCCUUGUGCAUUAUGAAUGAUCACUGCCUGCGGAGUAAUACUGCAGUGGGAAAUGAACACUCUCUUCAGCAGGUUUGAUAAAAGAUAUCACCAUUACCAACAAUUUUUUUUGCAUACGUGUGACAACACAGCCCUACUCCACACUCCUUGCUGGAUAAAAUCAUGCCUGGUCACAUCCUCAUGUGUCUAUCAUAGAAUCAUUAAGGUUGGAAAAGACUUCUAGGAUCAUCAAGUCCAACCAUCAACCCAACACUACCGUGUCUCCUAAACCAUGAAAUGAAGCGCCACAUCUACGUGUCUUUUAAAUAGCUCCAGGGAUGGUGACUCCACCACCUCUCUGGGCAGCCUGUUCCAAUGCCUGACCACUCUUUCAGUGAAGAAUUUUUUCCUAAUAUCCAAUCUAAACCUCCCCUGAUGCAGCUUGAGGCCAUUUCCUCUUGUUCUAUCACUAAUGACCUGGGAGAAGAGACCAACACCCGCAAUUUAUCCAGCAUUAAAUAACCGCACAGUGGUAUAAUUGCAGCUAACACUGGUUUAUGCUUGCUAUGCCUGUCCAGCUUAGCAAAUAUACAAAUAAAUACUGUGUACUUAUAGUGGGGGUGUGUGCUCUCCCUGUAUUACAUGCUAAAGGAAUUAGGUUACAAAGCAGAAAACAGGUUUUCCUUAAAACAAAUAAUCAUGAGUUUAGAUGGUAUAUAUUGAGGAGUCCUAUUUAUUUCAAUACAUCCUUUUAAUGGAAGUAUUCCAAGCUCUUUAAGUUUAGCAUUCAAGUAGGGAAGUUCCUUUUCCCCGUAGUAUUUUUCUCAUGUAUUUACCUUUCUACUGAAACCUCCAGCUUUGGUUUGCAGACAUUAUCAUCACCACAAUCCAGCAGAAUAUGUGCCUAUGAAGAAAUCAAGUACAUAUUGUUAUAACAAAUUCCUGCAUCUGUUUUAACAUACGUUUCCAAUAAUACUGUUUCACCACCAAAUAAAAUUUUCUAAGUAGCUGUUUAUGAGAUAUCUUCAUCUCGUUAGUCUCAGAAGAGAACGACUGACUUUUUAUAUAUGGGGGGGCACUGUGCCUCAUCCUGCCACACUGCAAUUUUAGGACUGAUGUCUAUAUAUCUUAAUUCUCCUUCCAUACUUCAAAUAAUCUGUUCAUCUUGAGUUGCGCCUCCACUAUCCUCUUUACAAACAAGUGUAAAAAUUGGCAUGAACGGUAGAAAUAGAAAAACUCUGUUCAUUACCUUAAGAGAAUUAUAGGGGUAAACACAAUAUACAUAGAACAGCAAUGGGUAAGACACUCCAAUCCUUCAAGAUUAAUACCUUCAAUACUACUCUAACUGCUUAUCUCCAGAAAACUCUUAAUUGGUAUACAUGAAAAAGAAGUCCAGCACUAAGGAAUAAUGUGCCAAAAAAGAAACUUGACAAAGAGAAGAAAAAAAAGAGACACACAGAUACAGUAACCAUCAAUAUUUCCAUAAAACAAAGACUAAAUCCUAGAUACAUAUUUUGGUAUCUUAAUUUUUCAGAAGUCUUAAGAUGAACAUAAAUAUUGAAAGCUGAAAAUAUGUUCUGGGUUCUCUCAUCACAGAUUA